ACUAUUUUGGCAGAUAAAUGUAAUGGUUUUAGAAGUCAUAUAUAUAUAUAUAUAUAAAUAUAUAGAUAGUA
rnacentral:tRNA from 2 species